CCUACGGGUGGCUGCAGUGGGGAAUAUUGGACAAUGGGGGCAACCCUGAUCCAGCCAUGCCGCGUGUGUGAAGAAGGCCCUCGGGUUGUAAAGCACUUUCAGUGAGGAAGAACGCCUGGUGGUUAAUACCCAUCAGGAAAGACAUCACUCACAGAAGAAGCACCGGCUAAACUCCGUGCCAGCAGCCGCGGUAAUACGGAGGGUGCGAGCGUUAAUCGGAAUUACUGGGCGUAAAGCGCGCGUAGGUGGCUUGAUAAGCCGGUUGUGAAAGCCCCGGGCUCAACCUGGGAACGGCAUCCGGAACUGUCAAGCUAGAGUGCAGGAGAGGAAGGUAGAAUUCCCGGUGUAGCGGUGAAAUGCGUAGAGAUCGGGAGGAAUACCAGUGGCGAAGGCGGCCUUCUGGACUGACACUGACACUGAGGUGCGAAAGCGUGGGUAGCAAACAGGAUUAGAUACCCCAGUAGUC
rnacentral:rRNA from 1 species